rnacentral:rRNA from 1 species
AGUAGCACAUGGGUGACCUGCCUUCCAGUGAGGAAUACCGGCGAGAAAUCGCCGACAACACCGCAUACGCUUCCGAGUUCAACCAACCCAGAAGCAAAGCUCCGCAAGGGGCGCUGGAAGAGGGGCCCGUGGCCGAUUAGCUGGUUGGGGAGGUAACGGCUUCCCAAGGCGACGAUCGGUAGCUGGUUUGAGAGAGCGACCAGCCACACUGGGACUGAGAAACGGCCCAG